rnacentral:rRNA from 1 species
CCCAAACCGACACAGGUGGUCAGGUAGAGAAUACCAAGGCGCUUGAGAGAACUCGGGUGAAGGAACUAGGCAAAAUGGUGCCGUAACUUCGGGAGAAGGCACGCUGACAUGUAGGUGAAGUGAUUUACUCAUGGAGCUGAAGUCAGUCGAAGAUACCAGCUGGCUGCAACUGUUUAUUAAAAACACAGCACUGUGCAAACACGAAAGUGGACGUAUACGGUGUGACGCCUGCCCGGUGCCGGAAGGUUAAUUGAUGGGGUCAGCGCAAGCGAAGCUCCUGAUCGAAGCCCCGGUAAACGGCGGCCGUAACUAUAACGGUCCUAAGGUAGCGAAAUUCCUUGUCGGGUAAGUUCCGACCUGCACGAAUGGCGUAAUGAUGGCCAGGCUGUCUCCACCCGAGACUCAGUGAAAUUGAACUCGCUGUGAAGAUGCAGUGUACCCGCGGCAAGACGGAAAGACCCCGUGAACCUUUACUAUAGCUUGACACUGAACAUUGAGCCUUGAUGUGUAGGAUAGGUGGGAGGCUUUGAAGUGUGGACGCCAGUCUGCAUGGAGCCGACCUUGAAAUACCACCCUUUAAUGUUUGAUGUUCUAACGUGGACCCGUGAUCCGGGUUGCGGACAGUGUCUGGUGGGUAGUUUGACUGGGGCGGUCUCCUCCUAAAGAGUAACGGAGGAGCACGAAGGUUGGCUAAUCCUGGUCGGACAUCAGGAGGUUAGUGCAAUGGCAUAAGCCAGCUUGACUGCGAGCGUGACGGCGCGAGCAGGUGCGAAAGCAGGUCAUAGUGAUCCGGUGGUUCUGAAUGGAAGGGCCAUCGCUCAACGGAUAAAAGGUACUCCGGGGAUAACAGGCUGAUACCGCCCAAGAGUUCAUAUCGACGGCGGUGUUUGGCACCUCGAUGUCGGCUCAUCACAUCCUGGGGCUGAAGUAGGUCCCAAGGGUAUGGCUGUUCGCCAUUUAAAGUGGUACGCGAGCUGGGUUUAGAACGUCGUGAGACAGUUCGGUCCCUAUCUGCCGUGGGCGCUGGAGAACUGAGGGGGGCUGCUCCUAGUACGAGAGGACCGGAGUGGACGCAUCACUGGUGUUCGGGUUGUCAUGCCAAUGGCACUGCCCGGUAGCUAAAUGCGGAAGAGAUAAGUGCUGAAAGCAUCUAAGCACGAAACUUGCCCCGAGAUGAGUUCUCCCUGAGACUUUAGGUCUCCUGAAGGAACGUUGAAGACGACGACGUUGAUAGGCCGGGUGUGUAAGCGCAGCGAUGCGUUGAGCUAACCGGUACUAAUGAACCGUGAGGCUUAACCUUACA